rnacentral:rRNA from 1 species
UACGGAAGGGGCAAGCGUUGUCCGGAAUUAUUGGGCGUAAAGAGCUUGUAGGCGGUCUGUCGCGUCUGCUGUGAAAAUCCGGGGCUCAACCCCGGACUUGCAGUGGGUACGGGCAGACUAGAGUGUGGUAGGGGAGACUGGAAUUCCUGGUGUAGCGGUGAAAUGCGCAGAUAUCAGGAGGAACACCGAUGGCGAAGGCAGGUCUCUGGGCCAUAACUGACGCUGAGAAGCGAAAGCAUGGGGAGCGAACAGG